rnacentral:rRNA from 1 species
GAUGAACGCUAGCUACAGGCUUAACACAUGCAAGUCGAGGGGAAACGGCAUUAAGUGCUUGCACUUUUUGGACGUCGACCGGCGCACGGGUGAGUAACGCGUAUCCAACCUUCCCAUGACUAAGGGAUAACCUGCCGAAAGGCAGACUAAUACCUUAUGGUCUUCACUGACGGCAUCAGAUGUGAAGUAAAGAUUUAUCGGUUAUGGAUGGGGAUGCGUCUGAUUAGCUUGUUGGCGGGGUAACGGCCCACCAAGGCAACGAUCAGUAGGGGUUCUGAGAGGAGGGUCCCCCACAUUGGAACUGAGACACGGUCCAAACUCCUACGGGAGGCAGCAGUGAGGAAUAUUGGUCAAUGGGCGAGAGCCUGAACCAGCCAAGUAGCGUGCAGGAUGACGGCCCUAUGGGUUGUAAACUGCUUUUGUAUGGGGAUAAAGUCAAUCACGUGUGAUUGUUUGCAGGUACCAGACGAAUAAGGACCGGCUAAUUCCGUG